UACGGGGGGGGCAAGCGUUGUUCGGAAUCACUGGGCUUAAAGGGCGCGUAGGCGGGUGCUCAAGUCCGGGGUGAAAUCCUCCAGCUCAACUGGAGAACUGCCUCGGAUACUGGGUGCCUCGAGGGUGGUAGGGGUAUGCGGAACUAUCGGUGGAGCGGUGAAAUGCGUUGAUAUCGAUAGGAACUCCGGUGGCGAAGGCGGCAUACUGGACCACUUCUGACGCUGAGGCGCGAAAGCCAGGGGAGCAAACGGG
rnacentral:rRNA from 1 species